UGUACAGUCUGUGUCUCCUCUCUAUUUCCAAAUGAAGGCUCCAGAUCUUUCCUCCCCCAGUUUUUCCCUGGAACGUCCCUCCCUUCUCCCAACGUAGGGGACACUGAUAGCGUUUCAGUGUGUACAUGAAAACGGGAUGGGGGCAGGUCUAUUGUCUCUCAGAGCUAGAAGGGACCCAACAAGUCACCUAGCCCACUUGGAUGAGAUCCAAGCAGGAAUCACCAACGUGUGAUUCACUCCAUCUGGAAGCAGUUCAUCCCACUUUGGAAGAGUUUUAAUUGCUUUUCUUCUUGUAUCAAGGUCAGAUCUGCCUAUCUACAAUUUCUACGCCUUGCUCCUUUUUCUGCCCUCAGGAGCCAAGCAGAAAAAGCUUAAUACUGCUUCCAUAUGACAGUCUUUCAAAAUACUUGAAGACAACCCACAAGCCCUGUCCUACACCAUACCGCCAAGUCUUCUCUUCUCCAGUGGGAGAAAGGGGCUGGGGAUAGAGUUCCCCCCUCCUGCCAAAAGGAGAAACGAACAGAAGACCAGAAGGAAUCUUAGACAAGAAGGGCAAUUUUGUAAAAGGUUGUUAUUGUCAAUUGUGUCAGAGUCUUUUGUGACCCCCUGUAGGUUCUCUUGGCAAAAAUAUUGGAGUGGUUUGCCAUCUAAGUGUCUGAGGUCACAUUU